rnacentral:lncRNA from 1 species
CUGCUUCAGAAAGUGGCAAGAAUGACUGGAUAAGUUUGAUUCAAUAUGACUGCUUGCCUGAAUCCUGUGCAGAUGGAAAAAGAGCUCAAAAUUCAUUCUUCUCUUGCAGCCCUCUGCCCAAGAAUGCUGAAACAGACAUGAAGAUGCAUAAAGGUCACCUUAAUUUAUAUGUUGCUAAGCAGAUAUUAAUAUUUUCCAACACAUAGAC